UGGGGAGUAGUGUAAUCGGCAGCACAGGACCCUUUGAAGGUUCUAGUCGCGGUUCAAGUCCGCGCUCCCCAG
rnacentral:tRNA from 1 species